UUGCUUGUCCAAGUGCCAGCCAGAGGAACAGAUCCAUGAAGCCAGCUAACCAACCAACCAAAGCCCUGCUACUGCCCCAGGGCCAGAAAAGCCAUACCUUUGAUGCUGUCAUAGAUGAUAUUCUUGCAGAGCAGAUCAUUGUGACAAAACACCACAGGGGACUCCAGCUGGGACAGAUGCUCCUUCAGCCAGGCCAGCUCCUGUUCCAACACCUCUACCUUAGGGACAUCUGCAGAAAGGCUGGGCAGUUGCAAAAAAAAGACCAUCGGCUCACAUGAGAAAGCAAACCAACAGCUUCUUUAGCUCACUCCUACACUGUCAAAGGAACAUUAAAGCCUUCAAUGAGAGCAUGCUUGCUUUGUGGCUCCCCAGUGACUCGUCCCUUCUACUUUGAGUUAUGAGGUAGCAAGAGCACAUAGAGGAGGACGGCCCUCUCUCACCUUCCCACAGGACAGACCGAUCACUCCCUCACCCAGCCCAGGGACCAGAACAUGAGGAAGCGUAUUCAGCCACUGAGGCACUCCUCUGUCCCCUCCGGAGAAGGAAGAGAGCACAGGGUCCCUUUCAGGCUUUGAGAAGGUCAAAGCUCAAGAAGAUCUGAGGUCAUCUAGUCCAGCCCCAUGGGGAAACUGAGGCUCAAGGGAGGAAAGAGACUUCCUCUCAGCCUCCAGAUACCUCUUGCGCUGCUGGAUCCUUUACUUCUUCAUCUAGGGAAAGUAGUCCUCAGCCCCUCCAAGGAUCCAAAUCGAAUGGAGUCUCCUAAUUGUGAGGGCUGUGCACUCUCUCUGAAGGCCUGGGUGCCCCUCAGAGGCUCUGCAAAGGCCCCUCUGAGUCCAGGGAGUCUGCUGGGAGGGAUGAUAUGGGGGAGGCCUCCCCCAUGCUUCCUGGAGUUUAUCUGUGCUGACAGGUCUGCGUAAGAUGUGUUUCAGUCCUGGCUCUCCUUAAGAAGCUACCUUUUAAGAUUC